AUACGGAGGGUCCAAGCGUUAUCCGGAAUCAUUGGGUUUAAAGGGUUCGUAGGCGGGUCAAUAAGUCAGAGGUGAAAUCUUGCAGCUUAACUGUAAAAUUGCCUUUGAAACUGUUGACCUUGAAUUACUGUGAAGUGGUUAGAAUAUGUAGUGUGGCGGUGAAAUGCUUAGAGAUUACAUAGAAUACCGAUUGCGAAGGCAGAUCACUAACAGUAUAUUGACGCUGAUGAACGAAAGCGUGGGUAGCGAACGGGAUUAGAAACCCUAGUAGUCC
rnacentral:rRNA from 1 species